rnacentral:rRNA from 1 species
CGUUCCCGGGCCUUGUACACACCGCCCGUCACACCAUGGGAGUGGGUUGUACCGGAAGUAGGUAGUUUAACCUUAGGGAGAACGCUUACCACGGUAUGAUUCAUGACUGGGGUG